rnacentral:piRNA from 1 species
UGAAGUUCAAGACUGGGCAGCCUUGUU